GGUCGUUGAUGACGUCGAUCCGGAAGUGGCUCGGGGCGUAACGUUUGAAUUUCGACCGUUAGUUUUACAAGCAACCAAACAAAAAUAUAAAACAGUUAAUUAGCUCAGUUCGAUCCGUUCAUUUUACCAGAGAAAUAUAAUUUACGGAGGGGGGCAGUUAAUGCGUGAUGUGUAGUAAAGAAACGUCUCGUGUGCAACGCCAAAAAGUAACGAAGGCGAAAUUAAAAACAAAGAUGGUUGUUAGUAAAGCUUUUCUGGCGUUGCCAGUUAGAAAAAGUCCCGAAAUUUCUGUGACCUGCUUAUCAAGAAAGACACAUCUAAAGUUUAGUUCUUCAUUAAAAUUAAAGGAGAAGUCUCUGGGUGCUACACUGGGCUUAACUCAGCACAAGGUACAACAGAGCAGAGAGACCUCUGUCUAUACACAAGAUGCAGAGCCCUAUCUUUUUGAUGAUGAAGAAAACGAAGAAGGUCCAUUGAAUAAUGCCCCAGGAGGUAGAAAGGAGAAAGGAACUCAGUGUGAAGUGAAGCAGAGUGUGCUGAGGACAAUAUCCAGGAUGCUGCAGGAGAACAGGAUCAUCAGAAAGCAGUGGAACAGGUUAUCUCAGGUAAAAGGUGCUACAGUUCAUGCUGUGAGCAGCUAUGUAGAUUUGGCAUCGCUUGAUGAACUUGGAGUUGAGGAGACCAUCCCAUGUUCCCGAGAAGGAAUUCUGAGUUAAAGGGGCUUUUUCAUUGUUUUUUCCUGGUUGGAGGUUGGGAAUUACAAGUUACAACCUCUAGUCAAUUGCAGCAUUAGCCUUUGCUUCAUCUCUGCCUAAAGAGAACGAUGCAGCAGCGCUUUAAUCCUUUAGUCUGUCAGCUCUCUCACAUCGGUAGGGUUGCUCAGCAAUGGCAAGACAAAUGCUAUGUUGAUGGUGCCUUGUAAGUGGUAAUUUGCAAGUUGUAAUAACAUCAUUUCCCACUUCGGCAUAUAUUUUGUUUGCUUUGGCAGAGCACUUAAAGCUCAUAAAAAGAUACUUUAACCCCACUGUGACAGUCACAGGCCUAGGUGGUUAAUGGUAGUUUUCUACUAUAGUGAACUUUAAACAUUCAUGCAACAUUUUGGACUGAAAUUUCAGUAUAGCAACAACAGAGGACAAUAGCAAGUAGCAACAUCAACAAGCUAGCCAACUAAUGCUAGUGAUAAUUUAAUGGUGAUUAUUACUUUCUCAAAACAGUGAUUAGUUUGGCCGAUGUUACAGAUUUAGCCAAGUACUGUGUCUGUAUAUUAAUUGAUUUAAAGCCAAUAAUAAACUAAUUUAAAAGUAGAGAAGGAGCUGUUGCUGGUCAUUCUUCACUGUUCACACUGUGCAUGACCAUGUUGAUUUGGUGUCACUGAAUAAACAGGGAGGAACUUAUAGUUUAGAAGACUAUGAUAAGUUGCAGUUGAGGGGGCAUUUUUUGUGGAUUUUACAUUUACAUUUAUUCACUUAGCAGACGCUUUUAUCCAAAGUGACUUACAAAUGAGAAUUUUACCAGUUGUAGGUGGGGAAUUACAAGGUGCAACAUGGCCUUGAAUGCAGCAAAAGCUUCCUAAAGCCUUGAAAUUUUCCACCCAACUGUGUUGAUAAGUUGUUCCUUUUUUGAGGCUUCAGAUGUCUAAUAGAGGCCUCUAGUGGUCAAAAGAAUAUAGGCCUGAGUACCUUGUGAAACAUUUUAAAAGACUGCAUGUGUAAAUUCUGAACCAGCAAGAGCGAAAAAGGAAGAAAUUCUUGAAUAAUGUAUGACUUUUUAUUAUUAUUAAUCAUUGCCUAGAAAUGAACUUUAAAUAAUAAUGUGAGCAGAAAUCUCUUCAUAGAGCUUAUAUUGUGAUGGCUCUGGGCUUCUCAUCAGAAGACUGUGAGUUUGAAUCCUGGUACUGCCAAUCUGCCACUGUUGGGUCUUUGAGCAUGACCUUUGGAUAAAAGCGCCCGCUAAAUAACUUAAAUGUAAAUAAUACUACUCGGUCAUGCCAAAAGUAUGGGGACACCUGACCAUCACACACAUAUUUGGUUAUUCCCCAAACUUACAGAGUUGGAAGCACACAAUUGUACAGA